GAUGGUCUGGUAUAAUCAGUUCUUUAGUUCAUUAGCAUGUCUUUCAUAAUUUCUGUUAUUAUUCUUUUCUGGUUAUCGAAUGGCAACCUCAACGAAAAGACCAAAAAAAAGUUUAUCUACAAUAGUUCAAAAAUAAUAGCAACCUUACCUUUAUUGGUAAGUAUUCAUAUUUUUAUAUAAUGAAAGAGACAUUGUUUUCAAGUACAAGAAGGAGUUGGCUUAUAAAAACAUGGAUGCAUUCAUUGUUGAAUGUGUCACUCCCUGGAUGAUUUUUAAAAUGUCUUCUGGUUUUUUCAAUAAGAAAAACAGGCUUUCUGAAACGGACUGAUCAUUUGCCAAACCAUUUCCCUUCCUACUGGUAACUGGGCAGCGUGAACUCUCACUGGGGGCACAUCCUUGGUAACAACCCUGUGUAGGCUGGGUACCAUAAGAUGGCAACAUUUUCUCGCCUACGUGUCUUCUCACGUUUAAGAAAGAGUGUUUGAAGGUCUUCCAGCCCAGCUCACUCCCGGGAGCAGUGCAGAUCCACAAAUCCUGGACUCCUCAGAACCAGAGUCAAGAGGAACCAGUUUCUCACCCUGUCUGGCCUAAGACUUGCCGGAAGCUGGCAAGCGAUAAUGUCUCCAAGACGUUUGCAAACUGGCCAUUCAGCCUUGAGAUUGGUGCAGGUGGACCUGCGAGAGCCCGCGCGCGCGCGCCCGGGCGCUAGCGCGCCUUUGCGCACUUUCACUUUCUCAAGCCCUUCAGAAACCCUUGAGGAUGAAACCCUGGGGACUUGCCAAAACCUUUCUCGGACCCAGGGGCCUACCCCAGUGCCUAGGGGUGAGAAGGAAUGGCAUUCAAUAAUGAUAACAUUUGGACCCCUAAGUUUGUUAACUCAUCCUCCAACCUCGGGUGUUUAGUCUCUUAGGCAAAGUCAACUUGCUUCUGCCUGGCUUCUAGUCUAAAAAAGCCCUUGAACAUGAACCGGAAAGAGGAAAUGGGGGCUUUGUAUUUCCUGUGGGAAGGUGAGCUCUGCCCUCAUUUCUGCAUAGGGCUCUUUAGGGGCACCCUAAAGGCA
rnacentral:lncRNA from 1 species